rnacentral:lncRNA from 1 species
GUGGACGACGAUGUCCGUUUUCCUGCCAAAACGGACGAAAAACGAACGAAACGGACGUCCGUUUGGGUCGUGCGUUGGAGUUGGCCUCACUCAGCAAACACAUAUCACUUUCUGCAUUUAUUUCCUCCUCUCCGUAUAGCCUGCUCUUCCCGUACCUGAUGCCGGAUCCAAGCACCCACGAGCACAGGUUGUAGAAAUCGUGCAGCAUCCUCUGAAUGUUCUGCCAGUGCAGGGGGUUCGAUCUGGGGGUGCUCUGCCACUCGGAAUCUGCACUCACAACAGUUCAAUGUAUGUUCAGAAAAUUGACGUUAGCUGCAUCAGAAAUUCAGAAAGUACGAGCCGCAGCUUCCUUCGCACACGCGUCCACCGAGCAGCUGUCAUCCGUCGGGGCCCCUGUUUCUUCAUCGCCACCAUUGCCGCGCACACGGCCGCCUCACCGCAAUCGCCGUCAAUCGACGGCACUGGGAACCUGCUCACCAACAAUAACCUAUCAACCCACGAAGCCAAUCUGAGCAUACAGCCUAGGCCAGUGGGAAAUCAAGUCGAAAAUCUUACCUAUCGACCCGAUCUGAUAGGAACUCGAAGCCUCCCGUCAUCCUGCCCGCUGACUUCAUUUGCUGGAAUUUUUCCUGGGCGUCGUCUCUGUUCGAGUCCACGCAGGAGGGCGGGGACAGCGGUGCCUACAACCCCAUCCUCGCAAGCGGACGGCCGGCACCGUUGCCUGUUGACUGUUCGGAGUUCGCCGCCGACAAUCUGAUGUUCCCGCAAACGCCGUUCAGGUCUACUCGGAGCCUGGCCGUCGGUCGCCCAACUCACCAAUGUUGAACUGGCCUACUGCAUCUAGCAGACCUAGAGCGGGCUGUGCCGGUGGCGCGUAGUCACCACCUGCUAACGCCCGCACAGGGAACCUAGCCAACGGGAGAACGCUCCCUGAGAUUCAUGAUCCACCGUCAAUGGAAAUCAAACGAGGGCAAUAAGCAUACCGAUCGACUGGAUCUGCUAAGAACUCGAACCCAUCCCCCACCGUCUCCAUCGUCAACCCUCUCAAGCCGCGCACCGAAACCGGAGGAAUAGUUUCUUAGAAUAGCAGGUACCCUUCUCGUUGGAGCCCAGUUGCCGCUUGCCAGUACUAUAUUUUCUUAUUUUUUCCACCUCAAACGCCGUUUGUGAAAGCCGGUAAACGGAGCUCCG